AAAAAAAAACGAUGAGGCAGCGAAAAGAAAUAGAGCCGGCAGUGCCACUGGCAUUGCCGUUUUCAAUGGGGGAUAUUUAAACCCAUCCAAAAUCGAGUAUCGAUUGGAGGACAAGUCUGGUGCCAGCA
rnacentral:rRNA from 1 species